GAACCGAACCUUGACCACCUAGUUCAUAGGUGGACACUCAAUCAUUGAGCCACACCAGCCGGGCAAUAAUUUCUAUAUCGAUUACACGUUAAAAUGGUCAAACUUUUGAAUUAUUAGGUUAAAUAAAAAUAUUAAAUUUAAUUUCAUCUUCGUUUUUACUAUUUUUUAGGGUGGUUACUAGACAAUUUUAAUUUACAGAUGUGACUAGCAUUAUAUUGUUGGACAUUGCUGUUCUAGAACAACACCCAUGGUAACAUGAAGCCCCCAUCUUUGAGUUUGGUGGCUGGUAAUACUGAGUAGGUGGUAACUUCUAGCUGCCAUCCUAACUUCUGAAGUUAAAUCAAGGCCCAAACUCAGCCAUUGGAACCUUUAAAAAGAAUGUUACCAACAUCUAAGACCUACCAUUUAAUCUUUAACACAGUAUUGGCUUUGAGCCCAGACCAUGGAAAUAUGGUACAGAUAUGUCUAAUUAAAUCAGAUUUGAUCACAGCUUUCCACAUUUUUUAAAGAGAGAGAUUGGGAAGUCCAAUAUGUUAGGAAUGACUCUGGAAAAAAUGUAGACCCCAAACAAAACUUCCACAAGUAACUUUUCACUACCACGGUUCAGCAGACAGGACGGCGGUAAGAGAAGACAUGAACAAAUGAAAAGUGUGGAAUUUUGGAGGAUCAGUAGAGCUCUUAUGAGUCAAUUCUCUGUUCAUGAGUGAAAUUCUGAACCCUUGAGUCCACUACCCGUUGCCUACUGCCACUCAAUGGCUGUUUCCUAUUGACUGCCUACCACAGAGCCCUCCCAAUAAAUGAAAACAUCUUAUUAUGGGUUUGAAAGGAUGCACAGAAGGACAGUGCAAGAAGUAAGAGGUCUAAGUUAGGAAAAGCCAAGAUGGAGUGAGUUAUGUGGAAAGAGCAGUCAAAGGGUUCUCAUGGCUUCCAGGUAUCCUCUUACCUUAGUGCCACCAUUGCACUCAGUCAUUGGUCAGGAGCAGCCUUGGGAAGCGUGGCUUUAACCCAAACUGGGUGAUGGAUUGCCGGUGACUUUGGUUUGAGGAGUCCCCAGUGGCCUUGUGGAGUUUUCUUUAGAACCGCACUGCAGUCUAAGACCAUUUCCCUCUGUCUCCCUCCCUUCCCGUUCUCUUUCACUCAGGGUCAGACCUCCAUGGUGGUCUGACAGUUCUCCCAACCUCUCCUCAUUUCCUCUACAUUUUCCCUAAUAACUUGUCCCUAAUACAUUUCUUAUAUCUCUAAUUUCAUCUUGGUGGCUGUUUCUUGGAGGACCCGGAAUAAUAUUGGAUGGAUACCAUAUGAUUUCACUCAUAUGUGGAAUCUGAUGAACAAAAUGAACUAACAAACAAAAUA